CAAAUACUCCCUCCGUCCGGAAAUACUUGUCAUCAAAAUGGAUAAAAGGAAAUGUAUCUAGAUGUAUUUUAGUUUUAGAUACAUCUCUUUUUAUCCAUUUUGAUGAUAAGUAUUUUCGGACGGAGGGAGUAGAAA
rnacentral:pre_miRNA from 1 species